rnacentral:rRNA from 1 species
CCUACGGGUGGCAGCAGUGGGGAAUAUUGCACAAUGGGGGAAACCCUGAUGCAGCAACGCCGCGUGAGUGAUGACGGCCUUCGGGUUGUAAAGCUCUGUCUUCAGGGACGAUAAUGACGGUACCUGAGGAGGAAGCCACGGCUAACUACGUGCCAGCAGCCGCGGUAAUACGUAGGUGGCGAGCGUUGUCCGGAUUUACUGGGCGUAAAGGGAGCGUAGGCGGGCUUUUAAGUGAGAUGUGAAAUACUCGGGCUCAACUUGAGUGCUGCAUUUCAAACUGGAAGUCUAGAGUGCAGGAGAGGAGAAUGGAAUUCCUAGUGUAGCGGUGAAAUGCGUAGAGAUUAGGAAGAACACCAGUGGCGAAGGCGAUUCUCUGGACUGUAACUGACGCUGAGGCUCGAAAGCGUGGGGAGCAAACAGGAUUAGAUACCCUUGUAG